AGGACGAACGCUGGCGGCGUGCUUAACACAUGCAAGUCGAACGGUAAGGCCCUUCGGGGUACACGAGCGGCGAACGGGUGAGUAACACGUGGGUAACCUGCCCUGUACUUUGGGAUAAGCCCGGGAAACUGGGUCUAAUACCGGAUACGACUCCUCCACGCAUGUGGUGGGGUGGAAAGUUCUGGCGGUACAGGAUGGGCCCGCGGCCUAUCAGCUUGUUGGUGGGGUGAUGGCCUACCAAGGCGACGACGGGUAGCCGGCCUGAGAGGGCGACCGGCCACACUGGGACUGAGACACGGCCCAGACUCCUACGGGAGGCAGCAGUGGGGAAUCUUGCACAAUGGGCGAAAGCCUGAUGCAGCGACGCCGCGUGAGGGAUGGACGGCCUUCGGGUUGUAAACCUCUUUCGACCGGGACGAAGCGAGAGUGACGGUACCGGUAGAAGAAGCACCGGCUAACUACGCGCCAGCAGCCGC
rnacentral:rRNA from 1 species